AAGAGGAAAGAAAGAGAAUAAAAAGUGAAAAGCAAUGCAUGUAAAUGUAGAGAAAGCAAGUAGGAAAGCUAACCAUAGCACAGCAAAGCAAGGCAAGGGAAAGAAUGAAACAGUGCAACCUUGCAGGAAUGGAGGAAUGGGGAAGAGCUGAGCCCUGGCUUGCCACAGGAGCUGCGCGGAAGGAGAAGAAGCUGGGCCCAAAGAUGACGCUGAUGCUCCUUAUCCAGAGGAUUGGGUGGACACUGCUUUUGUGCCUCAGGGGAACCCCAGAGGUCUUCUCAGUGAAUUAGCAGAGCGGAGUCCUGUUGCUGAGCCUGGGCUGGAUGCCAGAGGUCCUGAGGUAUGGAAAGAGACAUCGAGAACUGGAAAAUAUCCGCAGAGGCUCUCCCAUGUCCUGAAGAAAAUCAUGAAGGAGAAGGCAGCACACGAGGCAGACGGAGAGCCUGAGCACAGGGAUGCAUUUCAGGCAGGCAGCCGUCGUACAGCGCACGUCCCUCCGGGAGAAACAGAGGCCAAGCACACGACUGGCGCUCCAGUGCUGUUAAAGCCCCAGGAAGCCCUGUACAAAUGGAUCCGUGGUUUUUUUCAGAAGAAUCCAG